rnacentral:lncRNA from 1 species
CUAAAUAAACACCAUUUCCAUGGUUUUAAUAAGCAAAAUAGGAAACCAUUUUAAUAACCAAAAAACAGAAACCAGUCUGAAUAAAACUACAAUAGACUAGGUUUUAAUAUUUUCAUAUCAUAAGCAGGGUUUGAAAUUGAUCCCUUAUUUUACAUGAAAUAAAAACAAUUUCUGUUGCGGCAGGUUUGAUUUCAACACAGUUGAAUCUGUAAAAACCAAAGCUCGUUUCUGAUGCAGGACAAAUAUCCACAAUAUUUAAAACUGCAAGCACCAUGCGGUUCAUACAAUCUUGUUAUUACUGUUAAUUUAUCAACUAAUACAAACUCAAAAAUGCAUCUGGCCAGCAGCGCCAGCAAUUUCAAAUGGGAACUUAAAAAUACACUUUUAUUUUGGUAUUUUUGUCAGUGCAACUUAAAUCCUUUUACUGACCUGCAGAAAAAAAAAAAAGUAAUAAUAAAGAAAAACACCCAUGUCUUCCCUAUAACUACUAUACAACUGAAGAAUUGAAGGGGGAGGGGGAGACACCACCAAGAACUCUUCCUACUAUUUCAAAAGCAGGGAAAGAAACACAAUGCACUGGUCUAAAGAACACAUUUGAAAGUUGCAAAAUUACUUGCCAAUGUUUGGGUUUCUGGUACAUUCUGAGCGUGGCAGUUGGUUCAGUGCAAUGUCUGCUUACCAGUGCACUGCCAGGGUCAGGGAUGGCUAAGCCUCUCACCCUAAGAGGCUGUGGUUCCUACAAUUAGUGAAGGCCCAGAGGGUUCAGAAGGGACCUCAGGAUGAUUCUGGUUACAAUAAAAAGCAGAGGGGAGGAUCUGUUUUCCUUUCCUUUCCUUUCCUUUCUUAUUAAGGGUGUCAUUUUGACCAUAAAGACAAGGCUGGAGUCCAGUACACUCUUUUGGGGUGCGGAGCUUGGCAGCUUCCCUGCCCUGCCCUGCCCUGCCCUUGUACUCGGGAGCUGGGACCUCUCGGUUCUCUCUCUCAACACCAGCAAGGUCGAAAACUAAAGCAGGAGAGAAAAAAGAGGACCGAAUGGGGAUAAGGGAAGGAAAGAAAACACGCAACUUCCAAGUGUGCCCCAAGACAAAGUUGUUUUCUGAUGUAAAAUGCCUGGAACUUUUUCUUUUUUUUUUCUUUUUAACUUACAAACAAAAAUACCAUAAUCAUAAACCCAAACAAAGACCCUCAGCUUGCUGCCAUGUUCUCUAUGCGGUUUGGCGGGGCGGGUAUUUACAAGCCUACAGCUGGGACUGAAACCCCGCACGCAGCACCGGAGUUUCCAAACUGCGAUCCCUUCUCACCCAAAGAAACAAGGGGAGUAUGAUCCAUGAUCAACAACAUGCUAAAGUUAAACAAGAAAAUGGUACAAAAUAGAAAUUAUUACCAUACAUGUCCAGCAUGCAGGAUUAAUAUUUUUAAUGCAGAUUUUUGUAUUUUUCUAUAUAAUCGAGCAGGCAAUAAAACUGAUGAGAUUUGGGCGCCGAACGUCCUAACUGAGGCCCGUGUCUCAGGGCUGAGAGCCAGUGUUCUCCGAACUCUGACAGACAGGUCCGUCUGUCCUUCCUUCUUUCGCUCAGCCUCGCCUCUCGCCUGCCGGGACGCCAGAGUCCCUCUCCUCUCCUCGUUGCUCUCUUCCUGGCGCGGACUACGCUCCGGGCCGCAAAGCAGCGGUCCCGGCUUAACGCGCAAAGUUCAGAAAGCCAGGAGUCUCCAGAUGGCCUUGGUGACUUCUCGGGACUACGCCUCGCCGCCCUCCAGCCUGAAGAGAAGUUACUCCGGGACCUCCCACCCUCUCGUCUCUCUCUCUCAGGCUCUGCUCGAGUCUAGGAGGCGGCGCUGGCGUGCGCUACUCUCGCCUUAGCCAAGGUCCCCUGCCCGCCAGCGCGCCAGCCCGUCGCCCGCGGCCCGCGCCGCCUUCCUCCCUCUCGCUCAAGUCAAACAGGUCAAGGUUGGGGCCGCGGCAGGGACAGGGUCCGGGGUAGUGUGGGACUGGGGACAUGGACAGGGAGUCCGGGCUGGGGCAAGGGCGGGGGCCGGGACCGGCCACGACUCACAGAAAGAACUCGGGAGAGGAGGGGCUGUCGCUGGUGGAGCCCGCCUCCCUGAAGCCGGAGUUGGCGAGUUUCUCGCACUUGACCUUGUAGGCGUCUCUCUCGCGGGCCAGCCGGGACACCUCCUGCUUAAGCUGCUCCACCUGCUGAAUGAGCUGCGUCUUCUCAUUCUCCAGGUGGUGCUUCUGCUGGACGCGUUUAUACCUGCAAGACUGGGCGUAGCCCCGGUUCUUCAGGGUCCGCCGCUUCUGCUUCAGGCGGAUCACCUCGUCCUUGGUGAAGCCCCGCAGGUGGCGGUUCAGCUCGCGCACGGACAUGGACACGAGCUGAUCGUCGGAGAAGCGGUCCUCCACGCUGCCGUUACCGCCCGCCGCCGUCGCCGAGGCCGUCGCGUGCGGCCCGGGCCCAGGGUGGCUAGUGGGCAGCUGUUGCGCCGGGCUAGCGGCGCUGGACGGCGGCGGUGACGCUUGGUGAUGAUGGUGAUGGUGCGGGUGAGCGUGCGGACCCAGCUCGUCGUGGGCCACGCCAGCGCCCGGGUACGCGUGGUGCGGGUGAGGGUGGUGGUGAUGGUGGUGGUGGUGAGCGCCGCGAAAGCUGUCGAAGCUUUGCAGCGGCUGUGGCACUGGGUGCGAGCCG